UACGAAGGGGGCUAGCGUUGUUCGGAAUCACUGGGCGUAAAGGGCGCGUAGGUGGCGCUCCAAGUCCGUGGUGAAAGCUCGAUGCUCAACAUCGAGUCGGCCACGGAGACUGGAGGGCUCGAGCACUGUAGGGGCAGAUGGAAUUCCGGGUGUAGCGGUGGAAUGCGUAGAGAUCCGGAAGAACACCGGUGCGAAGGCGGUCUGCUGGGCAGUUGCUGACACUGAGGCGCGACAGCGUGGGGAGCAAACAGG
rnacentral:rRNA from 1 species